rnacentral:rRNA from 1 species
GACGAACGCUGGCGGCGUGCCUAAUACAUGCAAGUAGAACGCUGAAGGAGGAGCUUGCUUCUCUGGAUGAGUUGCGAACGGGUGAGUAACGCGUAGGUAACCUGCCUGGUAGCGGGGGAUAACUAUUGGAAACGAUAGCUAAUACCGCAUAAGAGUAGAUGUUGCAUGACAUUUGCUUAAAAGGUGCAAUUGCAUCACUACCAGAUGGACCUGCGUUGUAUUAGCUAGUUGGUGAGGUAACGGCUCACCAAGGCGACGAUACAUAGCCGACCUGAGAGGGUGAUCGGCCACACUGGGAAUGGGAAACGGCCCAGACUCCUACGGGAGGCAGCAGUAGGGAAUCUUCGGCAAUGGACGGAAGUCUGACCGAGCAAAGCCGCGUGAGUGAAGAAGGUUUUCGGAUCGUAAAGCUCUGUUGUAAGAGAAGAACGAGUGUGAGAGUGGAAAGUUCACACUGUGACGGUAUCUUACCAGAAAGGGACGGCUAACUACGUG